CCCUGAUCGAACUAGCUAUACUACAUGUAUAGGGGAUCUAGAACUAUUCAUUAGGGGCCUACUGACUGAACUAUUGGGGUUGGGGCUCAAGUCAUGCUUCAGUGAUUCCCUACAUAAUCAACCAAAUUUUUCUCAUUAAAAAGGGGGGGGCAGCCUAUGUGGUACAGACACUAGGACAAAUGCUACAUUUGUAGUUUGUGGUCCAUUAGUAUCUUUGGUUGAAGUCCAAGUUUCCAAAUUCCAGUCUGUACCUACAUAAAUGAUUAAGUUGCCAUUCAAAG
rnacentral:lncRNA from 1 species